rnacentral:misc_RNA from 1 species
ACAAACUUGGUCAUUUAGAGGAAGUAAAAGUCGUAACAAGGUUUCCGUAGGUGAACCUGCGGAAGGAUCAUUAUUAUUUGGGUCGGGUUUACCUCUUGUCUAGUCUUUUGUGCUCAAUAUUCAAGGAGGAGGUAAACUUUUACCAAAUAAAAUCCUAUUUCCAAAUAGGAGCAAGAAACUUAUAUUUAAAACCCACUCUUAAAAUAUUUAUUUAUGUAUUUUGAAUUGUAAAAAUUGAUCACUUUCAACAACGGAUCUCUUGGCUCUCGCAUCGAUGAAGAACGCAGC